rnacentral:rRNA from 1 species
GACGAACGCUGGCGGCGUGCUUAACACAUGCAAGUCGAACGGAAAGGCCCCCUUGUGGGGUACUCGAGUGGCGAACGGGUGAGUAACACGUGAGUAACCUACCCUUGACUUUGGGAUAACUUCAGGAAACUGGGGCUAAUACCGGAUAGGAGCUCCUGCUGCAUGGUGGGGGUUGGAAAGUUUCGGCGGUUGGGGAUGGACUCGCGGCUUAUCAGCUUGUUGGUGGGGUAGUGGCUCACCAAGGCUUUGACGGGUAGCCGGCCUGAGAGGGUGACCGGCCACAUGGGGACUGAGAUACGGCCCAGAAUCCUACGGGAGGCAGCAGUGGGGAAUAUUGCACAAUGGGCGGAAGCCUGAUGCAGCAACGCCGCGUGCGGGAUGACGGCCUUCGGGUUGUAAACCGCUUUCGCCUGUGACGAAGCGUGAGUGACGGUAAUGGGUAAAGAAGCACCGGCUAACUACGUG